GGCCGCUCCCACCCCGCGGGAUCCUGGGAGUACGCUUUUCCGGAAAGAGCGGCUCGGCGUCGGGGCUAGGCCGGUAUUCUAGGCCCAAGCCCAGUCCCAGGCCUGUGUUCCAGGUCCUUGCUCAAAGACAGGUCGCUGGCCGCUGCGACACUCUAGGUACAGCGGAGGGCGCAGCGGGCCGUUGGCUGAGGUGCCCGGACCCGCCGCCGAGCGGGCCGUGGAGCCACAGUACGUGGCGGCGCCUCUUCGUUGCCCGAAGCGGAACUGCUGAAGGAGCGGCAGCGCAGGCCGGACGAGGUGAACCGGGUCAUUUAACCGCCUUCAGGCCAACUGCCAUGUUGUGAGCACAUACCACAUAGCUCCAUGGAGAGGCCCAAGUGACUGUGAUGAAGAGCUGAGACUCCCUAUCAGUGGCCAUGUGAGUGACCCAUGUUAGAAACAGAUCUGCCAGCCCAAAUAGAGCCUUCAGACAACUGCAGCCCCAGCUGGCAUCUUGACUGCAACUCAUGAGAGAUUCUAAGCCCACCGAAGCUGCUCUUGAAUUAUUGAUUCACAAAAACUGUUAGGUAAUAAAUGUGUGUUGUUUUAAA